UGGAGGCAGCAGUGAGGAAUAUUGGACAAUGGGGGCAACCCUGAUCCAGCAAUGCCGCGUGAGUGAUGAAGGCCUUAGGGUUGUAAAGCUCUUUCGCCCGCGACGAUGAUGACGGUAGCGGGAGAAGAAGCCCCGGCUAACUUCGUGCCAGCAGCCGCGGUAAUACGAAGGGGGCGAGCGUUGUUCGGAAUUACUGGGCGUAAAGGGCGCGCAGGCGGCCUGAGAAGUCAGAUGUGAAAGCCCCGGGCUCAACCUGGGAAUGGCAUUUGAUACUCUUGGGCUGGAGUGCGGGAGAGGAGAGUGGAAUUCCCAGUGUAGAGGUGAAAUUCGUAGAUAUUGGGAAGAACACCGGUGGCGAAGGCGGCUCUCUGGACCGUAACUGACGCUGAGGCGCGAAAGCGUGGGGAGCAAACAGGAUUAGAUACCCUGGUAGG
rnacentral:rRNA from 1 species